rnacentral:rRNA from 1 species
AAGCCUGAUGCAGCAACGCCGCGUGAACGAUGAAGGUCUUCGGAUCGUAAAGUUCUGUUGCAGGGGAAGAUAAUGACGGUACCCUGUGAGGAAGCCCCGGCUAACUACGUGCCAGCAGCCGCGGUAAUACGUAGGGGGCUAGCGUUAUCCGGAUUUACUGGGCGUAAAGGGUGCGUAGGUGGUCCUUCAAGUCGGUGGUUAAAGGCUACGGCUCAACCGUAGUAAGCCGCCGAAACUGGAGGACUUGAGUGCAGGAGAGGAAAGUGGAAUUCCAGUGUAGCGGUGAAAUGCGUAGAUAUUGGGAGGAACACCAGUAGCGAAGGCGGCUUUCUGGACUGCAACUGACACUGAGGCACGAAAGCGUGGGUAGCAAACAGGAUUAGAUACCCUGGUAGUCCACGCUGUAAACGAUGAGUACUAGGUGUCGGGGGUUACCCCCCUCGGUGCCGCAGCUAACGCAUUAAGUACUCCGCCUGGGGAGUACGCACGCAAGUGUGAAACUCAAAGGAAUUGACGGGGAACCCGCACAAGUAGCGGAGCAUGUGGUUUAAUUCGAAACAACGCGAAGAACCU